GAGUUUGAUCUUGGCUCAGGAUGAACGCUAGCGGCAGGCUUAACACAUGCAAGUCGAGGGGCAGCGCGGGUAGCAAUACCUGGCGGCGACCGGCAAACGGGUGCGGAACACGUACGCAAUCUACCCUUACCCGGGGCAUAGCCCGAAGAAAUUCGGAUUAACUCCCCAUAAGAUAUUAGAGAGGCAUCUCUUAGAUAUUAAAAAUUUAUUGGGUAAGGAUGAGCGUGCGUCCCAUUAGCUAGUUGGUAGGGUAACGGCCUACCAAGGCGACGAUGGGUAGCUGGUGUGAGAGCACGACCAGCCACACGGGCACUGAGACACGGGCCCGACUCCUACGGGAGGCAGCAGUGAGGAAUAUUGGUCAAUGGACGCAAGUCUGAACCAGCCAUGCCGCGUGAAGGAUGAAGGCCUUCUGGGUUGUAAACUUCUUUUAUUAGGGAAGAAAAGCACGGUUUCUACUGUGUCCGACGGUACCUAAGGAAUAAGCACCGGCUAACUCCGUGACAGCCGCCGCAGU
rnacentral:rRNA from 1 species